rfam:Pristionchus pacificus strain PS312 contig5438, whole genome shotgun sequence.
UCUCCAUUUCACAUGCUCUCUCACCGGUCAGAGAGGCGAGAAAGCAUGCGACAUGAGGAGA